rnacentral:lncRNA from 1 species
GCCGGACUUGUUGAUCGCAUUGGAUGAAGAAAGAAAAAGGCAGAAAAAGGGUCCUACGUUGAGGAUCUUUUCCUCCAUAUCAAUAUACAUGUAGAGCAUGUAUAAUGGACAUCCCAAUCUACCAGUAACUUUGAUCCUAUAUAUUGGCAUAGGAAAGGGGAGAUUGGAACUUUCUACAAAGCAAAACUGUCAUCCAUUAAAUGGCAGCUGCUAACAUGGUAGCUGUGAGAACUUCAAUCCUCCUGCGCGUGAUUAUCUUCAAGAAUGCUUCUUGAACUAGGUAAUAGCAUUGACAAAAUGAGGGCAUCGAAUAAGUUAAGCUUUUCGGGUUCUUCGCGUGCCCCACACUCUAUGUUGGUUUAACGAUGUACCUUAAAGGGUGUGCUUGUCUACAAUUUUUGAGGCAGAGAUGAAGAAGCUCAACAAUUAAUGGCCAAAUAGAGUUAAUAUUGUCCAAGGUGUGGCGCAAUCGCUGUUUAUCAUCUAUCACCAUGAUUGCACACCCCCAAUUGUUUUCCCGGACGUAUCAGGCAGACAUUUUUGAUUGACAAGGAGUAUGAGGCUCGUGUAUCAGACUUUGCACAGCUAAGCUUCUGAACUCUGGAUUCCUCUAAGGGGAGUGCACGUGCAGGCACAUACGGAUAUGUUUGCACCCAGGUAACCGUAGUUUUUAUGUGCUCCUAAAUUGACAUAGACUCUAUUACUUCGCAAUCGAUGAACAUUUCUUCUGUUUCUGUCUCUCUUCAUUUUCAGAGAGUUUGCUUAUACAAUGAAGGUGACUGAAAAAAGUGUGAAAUGUAUAUAGCUUUGGAGUGUUAGCACUGGAAGUGAUCAAGGAAGGCAUCCAGGAGAUUUUGUUUCCUCACUGUCACCCCAUCAGUGGGAAAAUAUGCAACUGAAAGAUUAUGGACCAACGCCUUUUACCUCCCUCUUGCUCCUCGAGAGGAGGAAAGUAAUAAUAGCGCAUCAUAAAGAUUGGGCAGUGCAUGCUUGCAUGCCAAUCCACAAUCUAAGGCCAACCAUGGCCAAUCUUUUUCUCACGUAUCGGCCAGAUAUAGUUUAUGUAACCGAAAAUGUAAAGCUAUUUUGCACUAAUGAUGUAUUAGAUAUCAAUAGGUAUAAGCUGGGCAUAUUUAUGUUAUAUAUUUAUUAUUUAUGGUCCACUUAGGGUAAAUAAUAUGACAGGAUCAUGACUAAUGUGACAAGGUUGGUUGGUUGUACUUCUAUACUGUCUUGAUAAAGUUAUAGCAAUUGAAUCGCAAGUUUCAAUAUCUAGGAAAACUUCUGCCAGAGUCUUUGUAAAAUAGUCAGUCAUUUGGUCUAUUUAUUCUCGAUUGCACCCUCUUUUUUUGAUUUCUAUACCCAAACCUUUCUCAGCACAAAACCAUUUAAAAUAAACAAGGCUUCCUUUUCUUCUCAAAACAAUCCCCACUUUAUUCCCACCCGCCCAUAUUCAACCUCCAUCCUGACUAGCGAGUGAGAGGGCGCUCACUUACUAGUUGUGAUACCUAGGUUUGACUCUUAUCGUUGCAAGAUAUAACUUCUCUUCCCCUCCGAACGAUUGGCUAUAAAAAAAAUAAGAAAAACAUCCAAACCCCAGGCCUAGCCUAAUCCCAACCUACCAACGUGGCCACUGAUCCCCACCACCACCCUUAGUUCCUCUCUUGUCGUUGCCACUACUCUACCAUCCUCCCCUAACCACCCUAACCCUUUUCCAACCACUGCUGUCCGCUCUUCAAUAUCUGCCACUGUUCACCUCUCCCUAACCCAUCUCUGCCAUCAGGGGUGGAGACAAGAUUUUAAGUUAGGGGGCUAAAGUGUAAAUUUUUUUUUUCCUAGUUUAAAUUUUAUAAUUUUUUAAAAAUGAGGGGGGCUAGCCGGCUAGAGCCCCUCUAACCCCUGCUUGGUACCUCCCUUCUCUGCCACCUCCGCCCAUUCCAUGUGGGCAGCAAGAGCGGUGUUAUGAUAGAAACUUCUAAUUAGCUGCCAAAUACAGCCCUUUUAUCAAAAGCUCGAUGCAAAUAAGCGGAUUUUUGCUAUUAAAAUCUUGAUCAAAAUAUUAUCUAUGGAGGCUACAAAUCAAAACACAAUACAUAUGAUAAUUGCCGCCAGUAUGUGAACCAAAACAAAUUCCUCCAAGUUUUGUGAAUUCCAAGUCCUUGGCCCACUGAUCAAAACAGAUGCACUACAACCUCAUCUCCCCACUGUCGAUUUCACAUUUCGGGAUCUUGAUUUUGUGUGUAACCAGUAUUUUUUGUCAAUUGUAUACUAGAAGGUGUAAGCUCACUCACAAUUUUAAUUAAGCCCAACGCUUUGUCUAAUUAAAAAUUAAUUUCAAAAUAAUCCUAAUGGUGUCCCUUAUAGUAUAAUUGAACUAAAAAGAUAACAAAGAUAAUUUUAAAAUCUUUCUAAAACGAAAUUAUGGGAAUGGGUAUUCAAUUUUUCCACAAUGUUUCCCGGGUCCAUGUUGCGAUGGGUGCCAAUGACGGAUCGAUCAAUAAUUAUUCUCUGGCCUCGGCCUUAUUGUAUAGAAUUAAAUGUAGAAAAGUGCAGAUGCAUAAUUUUUCUAACAAUAGGCAUAGAAUUAAAUGUAGAAACGGGCAAAUCUAGAGGAGUCCAGGAUACAUGAAGAUAGAAUAAUAACCUAAUUUACACGCUAGAAUUGACAAUUGAAUAACCAUAAAAAUAAUUAGAAUGCAGAAAACAAAAUUACCACGGCCUGGGGUCUAACACCGUAAGGGUGGUGCUAGGGUGGGGUCAGGGUGGUGGGAGUGAGCAUGGAUAGGGAAUAGAGGAGAUUGUUGUUAAACAAAGGAUUAGGUGUGUGAUUCAUGCCAGUGACCAAAUCGAAUGCUAACACAAGUGUUGAUGUCCAAAUGUAAUGCUACAUAACUAUUCUAUUGAACCUUCUGCAUAAUGGUAGGUGUCACAGGGGCAAUUUUUCACUACUAAAAACUCAUGUGCGAUGGCACUAAUUGUGGCGCUUAGUCUCACCAACUUUGCACACAUCUAAUGAGAAGUAAUAAUUCGAAAAGGCCACAAAUGAGUUACAUGACAUCAAUCCCGACCUUUUUGUUUACAACCAUAAUAAUGAACCACUUAGGAUUUUUGUACACAGAACCACUUGUUGCACAUCCCGGCACACUAAGUCUACUUAUAUAAACAUUAACAUGCAUCUAGAACCCCCCCUAACUGCUACGAUAUUUGGACCAAUAAAAUCACAGCUUAUGUCAUUACAAUAACUGUUAAUAACUACUUCAGACAACCUAUUGUAUAGAGACAACUUUGAAUAGAAUCAUACAAGUGUAAUUGCCAACACCCACAACUGCUUGUAACUGCCUUGUACACACACACCCAGCAACAUGCUGAUGCCAGUCCAUGCCCAGUGCAUAGGGCUUGUUGCCUGCAUUGUGCGGAAUGUCGUGCUCCCAUCUUUGUUCAAAGCCCACACAAUCACGCAUUUGGGCACAAUUCCGCUUGUGCCUUGCAUCUUCUCAGCAACAUCACUAUCUUGAACAUUCGCUACCUUGUCAAGGCAUACCUCCCUUAUGGCUUUGCCAUCAGGGGUAGCGCAGGUGCAAGGUGCUACCACGCACGAACCCCGUGCCUGUGUCGAAGGACUAGUAUGCUACAGUAGGAAUGUGGAACCUGAUCCCUGUUGGUAUUGGAAAAUUGGACCUAUUCAAUAGGACUAUCUCAUAUGACAAUGUCUUACCAGCUAGGCAAUUUAAACAUCACUAACUACAAAAAUUUGAAAAAUUUACAUGGGUGGAAUGUGGCGAGGCAUGUAUAUUGUAUCACUAACACACCAAGAAGAUGGACCAGCGGCUGAUUUAGAAAGCAAGGAAGACCUGCUUAGGCGCGUUCAGUAGAAUUUAUGUUUCAAGUGCCUCCACUGUAACGUCUCUGACCUGUUUUGGUGUGUGCUAGGUUUACAUUGGAUGUUUUCGUGGGGGUAGGGUUUACUAGAUCCACACAGUCGCUUUCAUCUAACUAGCUUCUGUCUAAGCACUUCACCAAAGCAAGAGAUGAUAGAAGGGACCUAGUCAAUCUUGUGGCUUGUGAUCAUAACUUUUUCCUUUUUCCUCCCUAGUAAACAGGACCCACCACAGCUUAAGUCUCUCCAAAUGUAAAAUCAUACCCACACAACAAUACAAAGGCCUUUAGCACUGAUGUGUCUGUAAAAAGAUUCCUUAAAACCAUCGUCAAGUAUACAAAAAGAAAAAACCAUGGGGUCUGCCCUUGUUUCCAUAUUCCCUGUUGGACUCUCUGUAGGCAGCAAAGCGGCUUCUUUCUUUCUGCUUCUGGUGAAAGGCUAUGCUCUCCUCAAGUGGAAACUUUCCCUUCAAAAUCGCCAAUAUGGCUCUGGCUAACUUUGUGGGCACGGUCUUUUCAUAAUGACUCCAUUUCAGUGCAAGAACCCAUGCAAUUGGUUUGAGUUUCCUGCAAUUACCGAAGGAGCGUCACCAUAUGGAACCUCAACAACUAAUUCAUUCCGAAGUGGUAAUCUUGAAAGCUUGUGCAUUCUCAAUCAUCUCCUGACUUGCCUUAUAAGGAUGAAGGGAACAACAUCAUCGGUAGCAUAACACCAGAGCUAGGAGAUUCACCUUAAUUACAAAGGCAUGAUCUUUCUUCCAAUCAUUUGAGUGAGGAUAUCCCAAAGGAAUUGGUAAAGUUGAAAUCUUUGCUGGAACUCUCCUGGAAGACUAUCAACUUUCCGGAGGUAUCUACAGAACUUGCAUUUCCUACAAGAAGCUGCGAUGGUGGGCUUUAGUUUCUACCCAAAAAUCAAGCAGCCCUUCUCAGCAAUAAUCGUGUCGCCGAUGUAUGACAAAAUAAGAUCCUCAAAUUGUUUUAGAUUUCCAAGUCCAUAGGUAUAGGAAUGUCAUUCAUGCCAGUGCCCAAAAUGUAAUGCUUACAUAAGUGUUAGUGUCCUAUCUCUUCAGUGAUUCAUAAUUGUUGGAUCAGUCUUUUGACCAUCUCAGUAGAAAACCAAUUCCUGCCUAGUGAGGGCAUCCAAAGCCUUUCAUGGGGCAUGUUCUAAGUGCGGGCAGAGUGGCAUUGUUGCAUCCCAACAAUAACCAGUCUAUUGAAGUUUCCAAGAUGAUUCCUUGCUGGUGUAGGAAGUUUCACAUGGUCAAUAUACAAUGAAAACAUCAAAAUUUUGGAAAAUUAAGAUGACUGGAAUAGGGUGGGGGUGUAUGGAAUAGGGUGGGGGUGUAUAACGUAUCACUAAUGCACCGAGAAGAUUCAUAGUAGGGUGUAGAUUGCCAAGUCCAUAGGUAUAAAUUUCUUCUACUCACUCCAUUUUAACGACACUGGCCUGCUUUUCCGUGUGCUAAGUUUACAUAGGAAAUAUUCACGAGGAUCAGGUUUAUUACAUUCAUAGUCAUUUUAGUGUACCUGGCUUCUUUCUAAGCACUUUUCGAAAGCAAGACAUGAUAAAAGGGGACAAGACCUUGACCUCGUAAAGUCUGUAUAGUUGAUCAUAAUUUUUCCACCCUAAUAAGUGUUAGUGGAAAAAAGGGACCCAAGACGACUUCAAAGUCUCCCUUAACUGUAAAAUCAUAGCCAAAAUAAUGCGAGGACCUUAAGAAAAUGUGUUUAUAAAUUAGAGCUUAAACCAUCAUCAAGUAUACAAAAAAGAAGAAACAUGGGACCUUUAGAGAAAGUACCCUGCCUUGUUUCCAUAAUCCUGUUUGUUCUGCUCUUCCCUUCACCCAAAUCUGCUUCUUCUUCUUCUUCUGAAGAGGCUAAUGCUCUCCUCAAAUGGAAAGUGUGGGGGUUCUUUUUGUAAGAUAAGAGAAAUAAUAGAAAGAAAACUAAAAAUAGACAUCUUCGACGGCGAACGGUGUUACUGUUGGCAUGCUGGACCUAGCUGCAACACAGAAGAGCUGCAAAGGUAUUUGUAAGCUUGCUGGACCUAGCUGCAACACAAGAAGCUGAGAACAGGCCGUCCGGAGCUCUCCUACGGGCCCUCCGACGGUCAAUAUAAGACCGGAUAUGAUAUGUAUAUCAAUGUAAAGAUAAAGCGUAAUAUGUAUUCUCAAACUCAAUUGCGUGUGAUAAGAAAGUGUAUGUAGUUCUUCUAGGUCUCAAUUGCGUACCUUGGUGAGAGCUAGGUCAACUCUUCUUUUAUAAGCCUAGCCGCGGUAGGCUACUGACCUAGCAUGCCCCUAAGGCUUGGUUGGGUAGCUAGUCAUCAAUGUCCUCUGAUUCAAGCAUGGAGCUGUCAGAAGAAAGCCUUUUCGUUGCAAAGCACCUCUCUUGUCCCUCCAUGAUAUGCCUCGGGACCACAUUACAUUGUCACAUCCGACCUAGCUCAAGCGUCUCGACCUGCUCAGGCCGUCUCGAACCUAGCUCAGCAUCGCGACCUAGCCGGGAAGUCUCGACCUAGCUCGGAAGCGUCUCCCCUAUGCUCAGGCCUUUGACCUAAGCUCAGGCGUCUCGACCUUUAGCUCAGGCGUUCUCGACCUAGCCUCACCCGACGACUUCGACCUAGCUCGGGCCUCUGACCUAGCUCGCCCGGCAUCUCGACCUAGCUCGGCCGCAUCUCGAAACCUAGCUCGGCUUCUCGACCUAGUCGCCGGCCUCUCGACCUACUUAGCCUCUCGCCUAGCUCAGGCCUGAAAAAAAAAUGACCUAUCUCAUGCCGGCAUUCGACCUAGCUCUGCGUCAUACCUAGCUCGGCCGAGCCUAGCACUGGCCGAGCACUUGAUAUUUUAUUCCCUUAAAGUUGGCCCCUCAGUUUCGCAUGAGCUGGAUCAAUGCUUUAUCGAGUCAUGUAGCUGAAUGUUCAACAUAAAAUCUUCCGUCGGGAGAGCCGGAGCGAGGAGAGCUUGUCUUCAAAUGGACGACUUUCAUGGGGGAGAGCUUUGGUACUCACGGAGCUCAGGAAGCCUCUCCCAAUGGAACCUUCGUCAGGAGACUCGAGCUGGGGAGCUCGUAGAGCUCUCUCCAAAUGGAUUUUGUAGAUGUUUAUAGUUGAUUUCCCAUGACGUCGCCAAUUGUGGGGGUUCUUUUUGUAAGAUAAGAGAAGAAGAAAGGAAUCAAAAAUAGACAUCUUCGACACGCACAGUGCUGGACCUAGCGGGCAACACAGAAGGCUGCAAAGGUAAUUCUCAAACUCAAUAUGCGUGUAGAGAGAGAAGUGUAUGUAUGUUCUUCUAGGUCCAAAUGCCGUUACUUGGUAGAGCGCAGCAACUCUCCUUUUAUAGCCUAGUCAGCGGGUAGGCACUGACGAGCCCAUGCCCCUAAGCUUUGUUUGUAGCUAGUCAUCAUGUCUUGAUUCAAGCAUGGAGCUGUCAGAGGAAGCCUUUGUGCAAGACACCUCUCGUCCCUUGAUAGGCCCGGGACCACAUUUAACAUUGUAACAUCUCGACCUAGCUCAAGCGUCGUUCGACCUGCCUCAGGCGUCUCGGGACUAGCUAAGGCAUCUCGACCUAGUCGGGAAAAAGUCUCGACUAGCUCGGGCGUCGCCACCUAGCUCAGGCCCUCUUU